rnacentral:rRNA from 1 species
GAUGAACGCUGGCGGCGUGCCUAAUACAUUCAAGUCGAGCGAACGGACGAGAAGCUUGCUUCUCUGAUGUUAGCGGCGGACGGGUGAGUAACACGUGGAUAACCUACCUAUAAGACUGGGAUAACUUCGGGAAACCGGAGCUAAUACCGGAUGAUAUUUUGAACCGCAUGGUUCAAAAGUGAAAGACGGUCUUGCUGUCACUUAUAGAUGGAUCCGCGCUGCAUUAGCUAGUUGGUAAGGUAACGGCUUACCAAGGCAACGAUGCAUAGCCGACCUGAGAGGGUGAUCGGCCACACUGGAACUGAGACACGGUCCAGACUCCUACGGGAGGCAGCAGUAGGGAAUCUUCCGCAAUGGGCGAAAGCCUGACGGAGCAACGCCGCGUGAGUGAUGAAGGUCUUCGGAUCGUAAAACUCUGUUAUUAGGGAAGAACAUAUGUGUAAGUAACUGUGCACAUCUUGACGGUACCUAAUCAGAAAGCCACGGCUAACUACGUG